GGGUUGUGGCUCAGUGGUAGAGCGCUCGCCUAGUGCAUGUGAGGCACUGGGUUGGAUCCUCAGUACCAAAUCA
rnacentral:tRNA from 1 species